rnacentral:rRNA from 1 species
UCCUACGGGAGGCAGCAGUGGGGAAUAUUGCACAAUGGGCGCAAGCCUGAUGCAGCGACGCCGCGUGGGGGAUGACGGCCUUCGGGUUGUAAACUCCUUUCGCCAGGGACGAAGCGUUUUGUGACGGUACCUAGAUAAGAAGCACCGGCUAACUACGUGCCAGCAGCCGCGGUAAUACGUAGGGUGCGAGCGUUGUCCGGAAUUACUGGGCGUAAAGGGCUCGUAGGUGGUUUGUCGCGUCGUCUGUGAAAUUCUGGGGCUUAACUCCGGGCGUGUAGGCGAUACGGGCAUAACUUGAGUGCUGUAGGGGUAACUGGAAUUCCUGGUGUAGCGGUGAAAUGCGCAGAUAUCAGGAGGAACACCGAUGGCGAAGGCAGGUUACUGGGCAGUUACUGACGCUGAGGAGCGAAAGCAUGGGUAGCGAACAGGAUUAGAUACCCUGGUAGUCCAUGCUGUAAACGGUGGGCGCUAGGUGUGAGGGUUUUUCUACGAUUCUCGUGCCGUAGCUAACGCAUUAAGCGCCCCGCCUGGGGAGUACGGCCGCAAGGCUAAAACUCAAAGGAAUUGACGGGG